UCGUUAACCUCCAUCCCCAGCCGCCGCACCUGCCAGCCAUCAGCCUCAUCACAACCAGUAUAUCUACCCUGGCUUUCCACACCAUCCUCGCUCGAUCGUCGCAGCUCCAGACCUGGUUCACUCACCUCUGCCUCCCAGCUCGGCCAGCCGGGCUCGCUCGCCUGCCUCCUCCUCUUGCCGCCUCCACGACGCCCUCCGGCUUCCCCUCUCGCACCCCUUCUGGACCCCCAGUCUCCGCGCCCUCUCCUAUCCGUCUGCCAGCCUCCCUCAAGCCUCCAGCCUAAGUGCCCUCCGUUUCUCCAGCUUCUCGGUUCCCCGUGUCCUCGUCAGCCUCUCCCCUCCUUCCACCCGCCCUCGCCUCAAACCCCCUUCUCCUCAAUAAACUCUUUUUCUAACCCUC